ACAGAUGAGAAAACUGAAACAUUGAGAAGUCAAGUAACUUGCUCAAGAUUAUAUAGCUAGUGCAUAGAGGGGCAAAGAUUUGAACCAGAUUGCCUGGUUCCACAUGCACUUUAACCUGCUUUAUUUAGGCUUUUGAAAGCAACCUAAAUAGCUAACAUUGACUAAAUAAGUGCAGUAUACCUGGUCUGUGUGACAUUUUGCAGGUAUUAAAAAGUGAACAUUCUGAACCCUUUUAGCAAUAUGGCAAAUACUUCUGAUGUGAUGUAUGCAUAUAAAUAUGAUCGAAAGCAAAUAUCCCAAAAGGUUGAUGGCAGUUAUGUCAGGUUAGUAGCACAAUAGUUUCUUUUCUCAUUUUCUCACAUUUUUAGUAAUGUGUGUUGCCUAUAUUAAAAAACAAAUAUUAAAAAGUAGUAGCAUGUAUUAGAUCAGAGCAUGGGCUCAGACUGCCUGUGUCAUCUCUUAUUAGAUGUAUGACCAGGGACAAGUUAUUGACCUUUUGUUUCUAAGUCUCUAAGUUUAUCCUGUAAAAUGAAGAUAAUUGUAGUAACUACCUAAUAACAUGAUUGUAAGGAUUAAAUUAUUUAGAACACUAUUUGUUACUUGGAAAAUAUGCAAUCAUAAGCUAUUUUGUUGUUAUUGUUAUUUUACUACCAAAGCUUAUUGUUUCAGAGCCCCUAGGUGACCAGGCAAAAUGGCAGUUCCUUCCAGCUGGUCCUCAGAUGGGCACAUCUAUUAGCCUCUGCUCUUGUAAGAAGUUAGCUGCAGAACCCACAUGUGAAUCCUUGUAGGACUCUGGAGAAGAUCAAAUGGGAGCUUAGAUGUGGAAGCUCUUUGG
rnacentral:lncRNA from 1 species